GAAGGGACCUAGCGUAGUUCGGAAUUACUGGGCUUAAAGAGCUCGUAGGUGGUUAGAAAAGUUGGUGGUGAAAUCCCAAGGCUUAACCUUGGAACUGCCACCAAAACUUUUUGACUAGAGUUAGAUAGAGGAAAGUGGAAUUUCUAGUGUGAAGGUG
rnacentral:rRNA from 1 species